UGCCUAGUGGCUCAGACAGUAAAGCGUCUGUCUGCAACACAGGAGACCCAGGUUCAAUCCCUGGGUUGGGAA
rnacentral:tRNA from 1 species